UUGCUUUAGCCUAACCGUCAAUAGGUGCUACAGUGUGAUUGGAACUGCAUAUUUAUCUAGUUCACAUAGCUGACAUGCCUCACUUGACAUAUUGGUUAAAGUGCGUCACACUAUUCCAUGUUACAAAUUCGAAAAAGGGUGGUUUGGUUUUACAAGUGGCAAGAGCAAUUGAUGUGCAAUAAUCUUAGAAUGCUGUAGCCUAUGCAUGCAAACCCCAUGCGUGUUUGUCAAAACAAACAACUUGCAGGUCGAUGACAGCAUGUACCCUGUUUGGAGGGAAAAAUCUUUACGUGUGCCCGUCUGACCACUUCUAUUGGGUGACACAUAAGAGGAGCAGUUCGGGAAAAAGGUUCACUUGACGAGGAGGCUGAGUUACGAGUAGGGACUACGGAAUCUCCCAACAGCUCGCACAAAUAAAUUGGGCUGGGAAAUUGGCGACGACUUGAUUGAGAGCGCGUGCAUAGCCCAGCAGGAAGAUUUGAAUGGUGAUGUAAAAUAUAAGGGGUUGGAGGAAUAUGGCCCUGAUUCCCCUGCUGUCGGAGAGAGGCCUAAUGGAGAUGUCUGGGACUUGGCCUACUGCUAAACCAACAUGAGCCCUCCCUUUUCGCCCUCGGCCUCUCUGUCUCUGGUGGAGGCUCUGGCUCGGAUAAGGUGUCAACUACAUAGAACACAACUACUAGUUAAUAUGGUGAGAGGAGCCAGACAGAGAGAAAGAGGAUAGCUUCUGAUUUGUCCAUGUGUUAAGUAUGGCCCGCAGAUCGAAGAGGUGGAGCAUCUAUCUGGGUGACUCUCUACAGCUGUCUCGAGUGGAGAGAGAGGCAUGGACUGUCAUUUCCAUCUGAUCAUCAACAACAGUCAAGAUACAGUAUGCUGAUGAAGGAUACAGCAAACUACUAUUUCUUAUCAGCAUGCAUAGUCAGCACUCAGUCAUUUCUGUAUCAUUGUGAUUUAAAAAUCAGUUGCAAAACUGUUUACAUUCUACUGGGCUGUAAAAGUACAACAUCAUUUAUUCUGAAUUGUAAAAGUCUUUAUUGUUGUACUGGAUUUCAUGUGAAUCUGUCCUUAGAAUUUAGUAUAAGUGAACCCACAGUGCACUUGCUCUUCAUCUGAAAUAUGAAUUGAUUGAAACAGUACAUCAAGACAAUAUUUUUGUACGUUCUCAAAUCACUGUAUUUUCUCAAUAAAUGGAAUAAAGUAUAUUCA